UUGCCCUCCCCCACCGACUGCAGAACGCGAAGAACCUUACCAGCCCUUGACAUCCCGGUCGCGGUUUCCAGAGAUGGAAUCCUUCAGUUCGGCUGGACCGGUGACAGGUGCUGCAUGGCUGUCGUCAGCUCGUGUCGUGAGAUGUUGGGUUAAGUCCCGCAACGAGCGCAACCCUCGCCCCUAGUUGCCAUCAUUCAGUUGGGCACUCUAGGGGGACUGCCGGUGAUAAGCCGAGAGGAAGGUGGGGAUGACGUCAAGUCCUCAUGGCCCUUACGGGCUGGGCUACACACGUGCUACAAUGGUGGUGACAGUGGGCAGCGAGACCGCGAGGUCGAGCUAAUCUCCAAAAGCCAUCUCAGUUCGGAUUGCACUCUGCAACUCGAGUGCAUGAAGUUGGAAUCGCUAGUAAUCGUGGAUCAGAAUGCCACGGUGAAUACGUUCCCGGGUCUUGUACACACCG
rnacentral:rRNA from 1 species